rnacentral:rRNA from 1 species
UACAGAGGGUGCAAGCGUUAAUCGGCAUUACUGGGCGUAAAGCGUGCGUAGUCGGUUAUCUAAGUCGGGUGUGAAAUCCCCGGGCUCAACCUGGGAAUUGCAUUCGAUACUGGAUAGCUAGAGUUCGGCAGAGGGAAGCGGAAUUUCGGGUGUAGCGGUGAAAUGCGUAGAUAUCCGAAGGAACAUCAGUGGCGAAAGCGGCUUCCUGGACCAGAACUGACGAUCAGGCACGAAAGCGUGGGGAGCAAACAGG